rnacentral:tRNA from 2 species
GGCCACGUGGUGAAAUUGGUAGACACGCCACUUUGAGGGGGUGGUUUCGCAAGAUGUGGGAGUUCGAGUCUCCCCGUGGUCACAA